GCGGGUGUAGCUCAGUUGGUAGAGCAUCAGCUUCCCAAGCUGAGGGUCGUGGGUUCGAGUCCCAUCGCCCGCU
rnacentral:tRNA from 3 species